GACGAACGCUGGCGGCGUGCCUAACACAUGCAAGUCGAGCGGGGAUUUAAGUGGAAGUUCUUCGGAAUGGAGAUUUAAAUUCUAGCGGCGGACGGGUGAGUAACGCGUGAACAAUCUGUCCCGGACAGGGGGAUAACACUUGGAAACAGGUGCUAAUACCGCAUAAGACCACGGCCUCGCAUGGGGCUGAGGUAAAAGGAGCAAUCCGGUUCGGGGUGAGUUCGCGUCCGAUUAGCUAGUUGGUGAGGUAACGGCCCACCAAGGCGACGAUCGGUAGCCGGCCUGAGAGGGUGAACGGCCACAUUGGAACUGAGAGACGGUCCAGACUCCUACGGGAGGCAGCAGUGGGGAAUAUUGGGCAAUGGGCGAAAGCCUGACCCAGCAACGCCGCGUGAGGGAAGAAGGUUUUCGGAUUGUAAACCUCUGUCCUAUGGGACGAAGGAAGUGACGGUACCAUAGGAGGAAGCCCCGGCUAACUACGUG
rnacentral:rRNA from 1 species